CGCUAAGAAACGUUGUUUCUGUCGGCCUUUCUGUGCAACAGUCCACCAAUAGCGGAAGAGAGGGUUACCAUACAUACAAGACUCUUCCAGUUCUUAUGUAAGCUUUUUCUUACCAGUCAAGUAGUACAACAGCUGUAUCUUAUCUUAUAGCCCGUCGCGGCGGGUCGCCUUUUGAAUUCAGUAGAUAGAAGAAAUUAUUAGAUAAAUAGGGAGUAGGUGAGUGAGUGAGUC
rnacentral:lncRNA from 1 species